UACGUAGGGUGCGAGCGUUAAUCGGAAUUACUGGGCGUAAAGCGUGCGCAGGCGGUUCGUUGUGUCGGCGGUGAAAGCCCCGGGCUCAACCUGGGAAUGGCCGUUGAAACUGGCGAACUGGAGUGUGGCAGAGGGGGGUGGAAUUCCAGGUGUAGCGGUGAAAUGCGUAGAUAUCAGGAGGAACACCUGUGGCGAAGGCGUCCAUCUGGCCCGUUACUGACGCUGAGGCGCGAAAGCUAGGGGAGCAAACGGG
rnacentral:rRNA from 1 species